UAAGACUCUCGGCAACGGAUAUCUAGGCCCUCAAUGCGAUACUUGGUGUGAAUUGCAGAAUCCCGUGAACCAUCGAGUCUUUGAACGCAAGUUGCGCCCGGAGCCUUUGGGCCGAGGGCACGCCUGCCUGGGCGUCACGCCCAGCGUCGCUCCC
rnacentral:rRNA from 1 species